UUAAGCGACUAAGCGUACACGGUGGAUGCCCUGGCAGUCAGAGGCGAUGAAGGACGUGCUAAUCUGCGAUAAGCGUCGGUAAGGUGAUAUGAACCGUUAUAACCGGCGAUUUCCGAAUGGGGAAACCCAGUGUGUUUCGACACACUAUCAUUAACUGAAUCCAUAGGUUAAUGAGGCGAACCGGGGGAACUGAAACAUCUAAGUACCCCGAGGAAAAGAAAUCAACCGAGAUUCCCCCAGUAGCGGCGAGCGAACGGGGAGCAGCCCAGAGCCUGAAUCAGUAUGUGUGUUAGUGGAAGCGUCUGGAAAGGCGCGCGAUACAGGGUGACAGCCCCGUACACAAAAAUGCACAUGCUGUGAGCUCGAUGAGUAGGGCGGGACACGUGGUAUCCUGUCUGAAUAUGGGGGGACCAUCCUCCAAGGCUAAAUACUCCUGACUGACCGAUAGUGAACCAGUACCGUGAGGGAAAGGCGAAAAGAACCCCGGCGAGGGGAGUGAAAAAGAACCUGAAACCGUGUACGUACAAGCAGUGGGAGCACGCUUAGGCGUGUGACUGCGUACCUUUUGUAUAAUGGGUCAGCGACUUAUAUUCUGUAGCAAGGUUAACCGAAUAGGGGAGCCGAAGGGAAACCGAGUCUUAACUGGGCGUUAAGUUGCAGGGUAUAGACCCGAAACCCGGUGAUCUAGCCAUGGGCAGGUUGAAGGUUGGGUAACACUAACUGGAGGACCGAACCGACUAAUGUUGAAAAAUUAGCGGAUGACUUGUGGCUGGGGGUGAAAGGCCAAUCAAACCGGGAGAUAGCUGGUUCUCCCCGAAAGCUAUUUAGGUAGCGCCUCGUGAAUUCAUCUCCGGGGGUAGAGCACUGUUUCGGCAAGGGGGUCAUCCCGACUUACCAACCCGAUGCAAACUGCGAAUACCGGAGAAUGUUAUCACGGGAGACACACGGCGGGUGCUAACGUCCGUCGUGAAGAGGGAAACAACCCAGACCGCCAGCUAAGGUCCCAAAGUCAUGGUUAAGUGGGAAACGAUGUGGGAAGGCCCAGACAGCCAGGAUGUUGGCUUAGAAGCAGCCAUCAUUUAAAGAAAGCGUAAUAGCUCACUGGUCGAGUCGGCCUGCGCGGAAGAUGUAACGGGGCUAAACCAUGCACCGAAGCUGCGGCAGCGACGCUUAUGCGUUGUUGGGUAGGGGAGCGUUCUGUAAGCCUGUGAAGGUGUGCUGUGAGGCAUGCUGGAGGUAUCAGAAGUGCGAAUGCUGACAUAAGUAACGAUAAAGCGGGUGAAAAGCCCGCUCGCCGGAAGACCAAGGGUUCCUGUCCAACGUUAAUCGGGGCAGGGUGAGUCGACCCCUAAGGCGAGGCCGAAAGGCGUAGUCGAUGGGAAACAGGUUAAUAUUCCUGUACUUGGUGUUACUGCGAAGGGGGGACGGAGAAGGCUAUGUUGGCCGGGCGACGGUUGUCCCGGUUUAAGCGUGUAGGCUGGUUUUCCAGGCAAAUCCGGAAAAUCAAGGCUGAGGCGUGAUGACGAGGCACUACGGUGCUGAAGCAACAAAUGCCCUGCUUCCAGGAAAAGCCUCUAAGCAUCAGGUAACAUCAAAUCGUACCCCAAACCGACACAGGUGGUCAGGUAGAGAAUACCAAGGCGCUUGAGAGAACUCGGGUGAAGGAACUAGGCAAAAUGGUGCCGUAACUUCGGGAGAAGGCACGCUGAUAUGUAGGUGAAGCGACUUGCUCGUGGAGCUGAAAUCAGUCGAAGAUACCAGCUGGCUGCAACUGUUUAUUAAAAACACAGCACUGUGCAAACACGAAAGUGGACGUAUACGGUGUGACGCCUGCCCGGUGCCGGAAGGUUAAUUGAUGGGGUUAGCGCAAGCGAAGCUCUUGAUCGAAGCCCCGGUAAACGGCGGCCGUAACUAUAACGGUCCUAAGGUAGCGAAAUUCCUUGUCGGGUAAGUUCCGACCUGCACGAAUGGCGUAAUGAUGGCCAGGCUGUCUCCACCCGAGACUCAGUGAAAUUGAACUCGCUGUGAAGAUGCAGUGUACCCGCGGCAAGACGGAAAGACCCCGUGAACCUUUACUAUAGCUUGACACUGAACAUUGAGCCUUGAUGUGUAGGAUAGGUGGGAGGCUUUGAAGUGUGGACGCCAGUCUGCAUGGAGCCGACCUUGAAAUACCACCCUUUAAUGUUUGAUGUUCUAACGUUGACCCGUGAUCCGGGUUGCGGACAGUGUCUGGUGGGUAGUUUGACUGGGGCGGUCUCCUCCUAAAGAGUAACGGAGGAGCACGAAGGUUGGCUAAUCCUGGUCGGACAUCAGGAGGUUAGUGCAAUGGCAUAAGCCAGCUUGACUGCGAGCGUGACGGCGCGAGCAGGUGCGAAAGCAGGUCAUAGUGAUCCGGUGGUUCUGAAUGGAAGGGCCAUCGCUCAACGGAUAAAAGGUACUCCGGGGAUAACAGGCUGAUACCGCCCAAGAGUUCAUAUCGACGGCGGUGUUUGGCACCUCGAUGUCGGCUCAUCACAUCCUGGGGCUGAAGUAGGUCCCAAGGGUAUGGCUGUUCGCCAUUUAAAGUGGUACGCGAGCUGGGUUUAGAACGUCGUGAGACAGUUCGGUCCCUAUCUGCCGUGGGCGCUGGAGAACUGAGGGGGGCUGCUCCUAGUACGAGAGGACCGGAGUGGACGCAUCACUGGUGUUCGGGUUGUCAUGCCAAUGGCACUGCCCGGUAGCUAAAUGCGGAAGAGAUAAGUGCUGAAAGCAUCUAAGCACGAAACUUGCCCCGAGAUGAGUUCUCCCUGACUCCUUGAGAGUCCUGAAGGAACGUUGAAGACGACGACGUUGAUAGGCCGGGUGUGUAAGCGCAGCGAUGCGUUGAGCUAACCGGUACUAAUGAACCGUGAGGCUUAACCUU
rnacentral:rRNA from 1 species